ACUUGCUGAAUGUAGAGAUUGAC
rnacentral:piRNA from 1 species